GAUGAAGAACGCAGUGAAAUGCGAUACGUAAUGUGAAUUGCAAAUUCAGUGAAUCAUCGAGUCUUUGAACGCACAUUGCGCCCCCUGGUAUUCCGGGGGGCAUGCCUGUCCGAGCGUCAUUGCUGCCCUCAAGCACGGCUUGUGUGUUGGGCCCCGUCCUCCGAUCCCGGGGGCCGGGCCCGAAAGGCAGCGGCGGCACCGCGUCCGGUCCUCGAGCGUAUGGGGCUUUGUCACCCGCUCUGUAGGCCCGGCCGGCGCUUGCCGAUCAACCCAAAUUUUUAUCCAGGUUGACCUCGGAUCAGGUAGGGAUACCCGCUGAACUUAAGCAUAUCAAUAAGCGGAGGA
rnacentral:misc_RNA from 1 species